rnacentral:rRNA from 1 species
UACGUAGGGGGCUAGCGUUAUCCGGAAUUAUUGGGCGUAAAGCGCGCGCAGGUGGUUUCUUAAGUCUGAUGUGAAAGCCCACGGCUCAACCGUGGAGGGUCAUUGGAAACUGGGAGACUUGAGUGCAGAAGAGGAAAGUGGAAUUCCAUGUGUAGCGGUGAAAUGCGUAGAGAUAUGGAGGAACACCAGUGGCGAAGGCGACUUUCUGGUCUGUAACUGACACUGAGGCGCGAAAGCGUGGGGAGCAAACAGG